GAUGAACGCUAGCGGCAGGCCUAAUACAUGCAAGUCGAACGAUACUUUCCAGCUUGCUGGAAAGGAAAGUGGCGCACGGGUGCGUAACGCGUAUGCAACCUACCUUAAUCAGGGGGAUAGCCCGAAGAAAUUCGGAUUAACACCGCAUAAAAUCACAGUACAGCAUUGUACAAUGAUCAAAUAUUUAUAAGAUUAAGGUGGGCAUGCGUGACAUUAGCUAGUUGGCGGGGUAACGGCCCACCAAGGCGACGAUGUCUAGGGGAUCUGAGAGGAUGACCCCCCACACUGGUACUGAGACACGGACCAGACUCCUACGGGAGGCAGCAGUAAGGAAUAUUGGUCAAUGGAGGCAACUCUGAACCAGCCAUGCCGCGUGCAGGAAGACAGCCCUCUGGGUCGUAAACUGCUUUUAUUCGGGAAUAAACCUACUUACGUGUAAGUAGCUGAAUGUACCGAAGGAAUAAGGAUCGGCUAACUCCGUGCCAGCCGCCGCUGUAA
rnacentral:rRNA from 1 species